AGAGUUUGAUCCUGGCUCAGGAUGAACGCUGGCGGCGUGCCUAACACAUGCAAGUCGAACGGGAAUCUUCGGAUUCUAGUGGCGGACGGGUGAGUAACGCGUAAGAAUCUAACUUCAGGACGGGGACAACAGUUGGAAACGACUGCUAAUACCCGAUGUGCCGCAAGGUGAAACCUAAUUGGCCUGAAGAAGAGCUUGCGUCUGAUUAGCUAGUUGGUGGGGUAAAGGCCUACCAAGGCGACGAUCAGUAGCUGGUCUGAGAGGAUGAGCAGCCACACUGGGACUGAGACACGGCCCAGACUCCUACGGGAGGCAGCAGUGGGGAAUUUUCCGCAAUGGGCGAAAGCCUGACGGAGCAACGCCGCGUGAGGGAGGAAGGUCUUUGGAUUGUAAACCUCUUUUCUCAAGGAAGAAGUUCUGACGGUACUUGAGGAAUCAGCCUCGGCUAACUCCGUGCCAGCAGCCGCGGUAAUACGGGGGAGGCGAGCGUUAUCCGGAAUUAUUGGGCGUAAAGCGUCCGCAGGUGGUCAGCCAAGUCUGCUGUCAAAUCAGGUUGCUUAACGACCUAAAGGCGGUGGAAACUGGCAGACUAGAGAGCAGUAGAGGUAGCAGGAAUUCCCAGUGUAGCGGUGAAAUGCGUAGAGAUUGGGAAGAACAUCGGUGGCGAAAGCGUGCUACUGGGCUGUAUCUGACACUCAGGGACGAAAGCUAGGGGAGCGAAAGGGAUUAGAUACCCCUGUAGUCCUAGCCGUAAACGAUGGAUACUAGGCGUGGCUUGUAUCGACCCGAGCCGUGCCGAAGCUAACGCGUUAAGUAUCCCGCCUGGGGAGUACGCACGCAAGUGUGAAACUCAAAGGAAUUGACGG
rnacentral:rRNA from 1 species